rnacentral:rRNA from 1 species
GAUGAACGCUGGCGGCGUGCUUAAUACAUGCAAGUCGAACGAACAGACUAGGAGCUUGCUCCGCGUACGUUAGCGGCGGACGGGUGAGUAACACGUGGAUAACCUGCCUAUAACACUGGGAUAACUUCGGGAAACCGGAUCUAAUACCGGAUACGAUAUUUAACCGCAUGGUGCUGUGUGGAAAGGCGUUUUUGCGGUCAGGUAGAGAUGAAUCCCUGCCGGAUUGGCUGGUUGGUAAGGUAACGGCUUACCGAGGCAACGAAGCGUAGACGACCUGGGGGGGUGAUAGGCCACCCGGGAACGGGGACACGCUCCAGGGUCCUACGGGAGGCAGCAGUAGGGAACCGUCCGCAGUAGGCGAAAGCCUGACGGAGCAACGCGGCGUGAGUGGUGAAGGUCUUCCGAGCGUAAAACCCUCUUACUAGGGAAGAACAACUGUGUAAGUAAAUAUGCACGUAUUGACGGUACCUAAUCAGAAAGCGACGGCUAACUACGUG